rnacentral:lncRNA from 1 species
GGAGGGGCGACGAGAACACACCUCGUUGCCUUUGUUUCAGGUAUGGGAAGAUCACGUUCGUGCUCAUCUUCAGUCAUCAAGCUCUGGAAAUCUACAGGUACGAUUUUUGGUAGCAUCAAGUUGAAAAGCCAUUGAUGGCUUCCAACCAGUGAUCAAAAGAUAGGCAUUCUCGAGUGGACUCCGCCAAAUUGGGGCGAAAAAUGCUAAAACAUCUUCAUUUGCUGCCGCCCAUUUUGCAGUGUAAUAAUCUUUAUAAUGUGCUGUGACUUUUUGCACUAAAUCCCCAUGAUCGGCUUCGGCUUUAUCAGAAGGCUAGCUAUUUUGGUACUAAACGAAGGAUUUGAAGAAACUGCUCAAGUUGACGCAUCCAUUUCUCCAAAACGACUGCAAACUUGUUCUCAACUCGAGUGUUCAUCUUGUAGUGAAAAUCUAGAGAGAAUUCUGCAGGUUGAAUAUGUGGACUUCGGUGUAUUAUAUGUGUCAUGUAUAUGUCGGCAGUCGGCUUGUCUGGAGAUGAAGUGUUCCCGAAGUGCGAGGCUUUUUUGUAUGGCUUAUUCGAUGCAUGGGAACGUGUCACUAAAAGGAAUUUGAGUUCAUCAGUACUCUGAGGUGCAUGCAUGUAAAAUUUGAUGAUGUAAUCGUAACUUUCUCAGAAUAAGAAGAGACGUGUUUCUUUUUUGGGAAUUGUUCUAUGUACGGAGCAAUUUCCUACAGAAUCCUUACCGACCCCUCACUGUAGGGGUCAGUCCCACAUGAAGAGGAAAAAAAAUUUGGGGCCCACACUGUGAGUAUCUGGCAGGGGUCUGUAAAGUGUGGGUUCUUCUUCUUCUUUUUAAUCAUCUGUAGCUGUCCAAUGAUAAACUUUUCAACCUUUUAUAUUUUGUAGUCUUGGAGUCUUCAAUAGGGCUAAAGCCCAUUGGACAACCCUAAUAGGGGUGUCACACAACCCGCUGAACAUCCAUGGAUUUUCACACAAGAAUAACCCCCUUCAAUAGUGAGGUGGUUGAUCCCAAUCAGUUUAAAUCUAUAAAUUUAGAUCCAAUGUAAUUAAAGUUGUCAAUAUAGACCUUAAAAAUCUGAUACUGUUUUCAGUUGAAUUUGAG